AAAGGAUUCAUCGGUAACGGAUGGGGAUGCGUGACAUUAGGUAGAUGGCGGGGUAACGGCCCACCAUGCCUACGAUGUCUAGGGGUUCUGAGAGGAAGGUCCCCCACACUGGAACUGAGACACGGUCCAGACUCCUACGGGAGGCAGCAGUGAGGAAUAUUGGUCAAUGGUCGGAAGACUGGAACCCAGCCAAGUAGCGUGAAGGAUGAAGGUUCUAUGGAUUGUAAACUUCUUUUAUACGGGAAUAAAACCACCUACGUGUAGGUGCUUGUAUGUACCGUAUGAAUAAGCAUCGGCUAACUCCGUG
rnacentral:rRNA from 1 species